GACGUAGGAGGCGAGCGUUGUCCGGAUUCAUUGGGCGUAAAGAGCUCGUUAGGCGGUUUGUCGCGUCUGCUGAUGAAAACCCGAGGCUCAACCUCGGGCCUGCAGUGGGUACGGGCAGACUAGAGUGCGGUAGGGGAGACUGGAAUUCCUGGUGUAGCGGUGAAAUGCGCAGAUAUCGGGAGGAACACCGGUGGCGAAGGCGGUUCUCUGGGCCUGUACUGACGCUGAGGAGCGAAAGCGUGGGGAGCGAACAGG
rnacentral:rRNA from 1 species